UCUGGCCUCACUGGAGCCAGACACAAGAGCUCAGCAAGCAUGGAUCAAAGCAUGCAGCAACUCUGCAUUUGAAGGUGGACCAAGAAAACGGUACCAGGUGAACUGUAACCUCUUGGAAAAUGAGAAAUGGCUCAUUCUUAAGAAUUGUACAACUUCACUGUUACCUGACAAUUGUCUGGUCCACUCAGGCUCAUCUACCACAGCUGGGAAGGAACUGAAGCCACUCUCAGCAACUGUGUUCUCCCCCACUCCUCCCUAUCUGCAGCAAGAAGACUCCUUUAAUUCCCUUUGCCUGGACGCACAUCUGGGCAGAAAAGGCAGAGUGACUGAUCCAGGUUGGGAUGUAUUACUGUUUUGCACAGAAAUCAAUCCUGCCUCGCUACAAAUGUGAAAGGGCUACCUGAGAUGACACUGAAAAAUACUAACAAUACAUUUACUUCAAAGGAGAUCAAAGCAGAAGAGACAGUUCUGGGGAAUAACGUGAGCAGAAUGUUUUCUGAAUGGUCACUGCACCUGAUCUUCC
rnacentral:lncRNA from 1 species